GUUCCCUAGUACAGAUGACGCGUAUCUCGAGUGCAUGCUUAAUCUUUGGUUGUCGCAGGGACGCAUUGGCACCGUCACCCACGAGACCAAGUAAAGCUUAGUGGAGACACUGGCGAAAGGAGUCAAGGCGUUUGGAGUAUUUUUUAAAUCAUACAAGUGAAUAAAGACUAAUAUGUAUAAUUAAAGAUUAGGACAU